rnacentral:tRNA from 1 species
UGGCUUAGUGGGUAAGAGCUAUGGCUGCUAAUCAAAAGGUUGGCGGUUCGAAUCCGCC